rnacentral:rRNA from 1 species
UGAGGAAUUUUGCGCAAUGGGCGAAAGCCUGACGCAGCGACGCCGCGUGGGCGACGAAGCUCUUUGGAGUGUAAAGCCCUGUCAGGUGGGACGAAUCCGGGUGGGCAAAUAGCCCUUCCCGCUGACGGUACCACCAGAGGAAGCCCCGGCUAACUCCGUGCCAGCAGCCGCGGUAAUACGGAGGGGGCGAGCGUUGUUCGGAAUUACUGGGUGUAAAGGGUGCGUAGGCGGUCAGUUAAGUCUGAUGUGAAAGCCCUGGGCUCAACUCAGGAAUUGCAUUGGAAACUGGCUGGCUGGAGUACCGGAGAGGGAAGCGGAAUUCCUGGUGUAGCGGUGAAAUGCGUAGAUACCAGGAGGAACACCGGUGGCGAAGGCGGCUUCCUGGCCGAGUACUGACGCUGAGGCACGAAAGCGUGGGGAGCAAACGGG